UACGGAGGAUGCAAGCGUUAUCCGGAAUGAUUGGGCGUAAAGCGUCCGCAGGUGGCUGUGUAAGUCUGCUGUUAAAGAGUCUAGCUCAACUAGAUAAAGGCAGUGGAAACUACACGGCUAGAGUGCGUUCGGGGCAGAGGGAAUUCCUGGUGUAGCGGUGAAAUGCGUAGAGAUCAGGAAGAACACCGGUGGCGAAGGCGCUCUGCUAGGCCGCAACUGACACUGAGGGACGAAAGCUAGGGGAGCGAACGGG
rnacentral:rRNA from 1 species